rnacentral:rRNA from 1 species
UACGUAGGGGGCGAGCGUUGUCCGAAGUUACUGGGCGUAAAGAGCGCGUAGGCGGGCUUCUAAGUGAGAGGUGAAAGGUUCGGGCUCAACCCGGAGAGUGCCUUUCAUACUGGGAGCCUUGAGUGCGGGAGAGGCAAGUGGAAUGGUCGGUGUAGCGGUGAAAUGCGUAGAUAUCGAUCGGAACACCCGUGGCGAAGGCGGUUCUCUGGGACGGUACUGACGCUGAGACGCGAAAGCGUGGGGAGCGAACAGG